GUUCCACUAAUGGCAGGCUCUGGUGUAGAGGGAGUGGAAGCGGUUCUUGGUCCGGUGCUACAGCUGCAGAGCUCUUCACUUACCGGGAGAAGAUGUGUAGGCUCUGAAGUGCAGCAUUUGAUGGCCUCAAGUUGGGUGCAGACUGUACUCCUACCCCAUUCACAGUCCCAGAGGGUCUCACAUCUCUGGGCUCCCAGAUUGUGCUGUAAAAACUCAGCUCUGUAGCACAAUUUGGGGUGAUGGCUACUGCAAUUUGAGCCCUGUGCAGCUGUUCAAGGAAGCAGAACAUCUGGCUCAAGAAGAAGAUUUCUGUGGAAUCCCUUGGGAGGAAACAGUCUUUCAUUAUAAUCCAGAAAGGUCUGGAGAGCUGGAUUUAAUUUUUUUUUUCCAGUUUAAAUAAAUGUGACUUAAAUGUAAAGUGUUGUGAUCUAUGAAAUAAAUACAGAAAAGAUU